rnacentral:rRNA from 1 species
AACGAGCGCUGGCGGCAGGCUUAACACAUGCAAGUCGAACGCCCCGCAAGGGGAGUGGCAGACGGGUGAGUAACGCGUGGGAAUCUACCUAGUUCUACGGAACAACAGUUGGAAACGACUGCUAAUACCGUAUACGCCCUACGGGGAAAGAUUUAUCGGAAUUAGAUGAGCCCGCGUAAGAUUAGCUAGUUGGUGGGGUA